rnacentral:rRNA from 1 species
CAGUCGCCACGGUAAUACGUAGGGUGCAAGCGUUAAUCGGAAUUACUGGGCGUAAAGCGUGCGCAGGCGGUUUGUUAAGACAGAUGUGAAAUCCCCGGGCUUAACCUGGGAACUGCAUUUGUGACUGGCAAGCUAGAGUCUGGCAGAGGGGGGUGGAAUUCCGCGUGUAGCAGUGAAAUGCGUAGAUAUGCGGAGGAACACCGAUGGCGAAGGCAGCCCCCUGGGCCAACACUGACGCUCAUGCACGAAAGCGUGGGGAGCAAACAGGAUUAGAUACCCCCGUAGUCCCUGUCUCUUAUCC